CAUGUUGGAAAAAAGAUGAAAGCAACAUCGGUGAGUCGACACACUCAUGGGGGAACUUGUUUUGCAAGGCAGUAGGCGAUGACAUGCAGAGUUGAUCCAAUCCUCACCAGUUUGGGCAAAUCCAAGAGUCCUAACGUGUAAACCCCACCCAUCGGGAGCCUGUUAACGUUACUUGCCAACGCAAAACAGUCAUCCACUCUGCAGCACUUUGCCUAAAGAAAGCAUGUACACCAUCUAAAGAAGUAUGGAGAACUGACAGCAAACACACUGAAGAGAAAACAUGCCCCUGAGACUCUCCACCAUCAAGCAGAGCACAUUACUGAAGACAGUGUCUCAAAAAUCCAUUGACAAAGCUGUGGUGAAGUAUAGGGUCCAAGGGCUCCAACCAUUCGCUGUUGUAGAACAAGAACCGUUCAGAGUUUGUCCAGGAUCUGCAGCCUAACUCAAAGAUCUUAUCAAGGCCCAGACUGUGCUCCAGGAUUGAUGAAGUCUCCAAGGAAAUUAAGAAGGUGACUGAGGCCAUGAGAGGAAUUGACCACAUCGCCACCACCACCAACUGCUGGUCUGCAAGAAGACGGAGCUUCAUUGGUGUUACAUCCCACUGGAUAGACCCUGACAGUCUCAACAGAUGCUCUGCAGCCCUGGCCUGUAAACGGUUGAGAGGAUCGCACACCUUUGAUGUGUUGGCAGGCGCCCUAAAUGACAUCUAUUCUGAGUUUGAAGUCCAGGUUAAGAUUGUGUGAACAACAACAGACAACGGCUCUAACUUCUUGAAAGCUUUCCAAGUUUUUGGAGAAGGUGAAAACAACGAGACACUAGAAGCAGUGGGUGGUGAAGCAGCUCAGCCAGGACAGGAAGAUGGGGAAGAGGAACAAGAGGAGAGUGAAGAAGUGGAGUUUGUUGAUGUGGCAAUGAUUCUGAAUGAAGAUGAUGGUUUUGAGUACCAGCUGCCGAAGCACCAGCGCUGUGCUUGCCACCUACUCAACUUAGUAUCUACAGUCAAUGCCCUGAAAGCAACAUCCAGUGAGGCUUACAAAAAAGUGUCCAAUUUUUAACAUUUGGCAAGUGCCAAGCUCUUUGGAACAAAUGCGGAAGAUACACACUUGCAGCCAAAAUGGUUGAAGAUACUUGCGACCUCCAGCUGCUGCGCCCAAAUGCUACGAGGUGGAACUCCUGGUUCAUGGCUGUAGAAAGACUCCUGAGGAUCGACAAAGGAGAGGCGGCCAUCAGAGUUCCCUGCACAAACUUUGAGGUUCCAAUCUAUCAAGCGUGCUGCGAACACCUGUGCGUAAUCGUAACUGGGGAGGAAUUGUAGUUCAUCAACGUGGAGGCCCACAGCGUAUGGAUCUGCAAAUCUGCUACACCAAACUUUGGGGCUCCUCUACAAAGGACAGAUUGGAGGUGACACCCAGACAGAAAACAGAGCGUGUCUCAGGUAAACUUACGGUCUUGCGCUUCUUUCUGCCCAACGGUAUCUUCACUUGUGACUGGAUAGGCCUUUUGGAUACAGGUACACAA